rnacentral:rRNA from 1 species
GACGAACGCUGGCGGCGUGCCUAAUACAUGCAAGUCGAACGCACUCUCGUUUAGAUUGAAGGAGUUUGCUCCUGAUUGAUAAACAUUUGAGUGAGUGGCGGACGGGUGAGUAACACGUGGGUAACCUGCCCUAAAGUGGGGGAUAACAUUUGGAAACAGAUGCUAAUACCGCAUAAAACCUAACACCGCAUGGUGUAGGGUUGAAAGAUGGUUUCGGCUAUCACUUUAGGAUGGACCCGCGGUGCAUUAGUUAGUUGGUGAGGUAAAGGCUCACCAAGACCGUGAUGCAUAGCCGACCUGAGAGGGUAAUCGGCCACACUGGGACUGAGACACGGCCCAGACUCCUACGGGAGGCAGCAGUAGGGAAUCUUCCACAAUGGACGAAAGUCUGAUGGAGCAACGCCGCGUGAGUGAAGAAGGUUUUCGGAUCGUAAAACUCUGUUGUUGGAGAAGAAUGUACCUGAUAGUAACUGAUCAGGUAGUGACGGUAUCCAACCAGAAAGCCACGGCUAACUACGUG